rnacentral:tRNA from 1 species
GGGCCGCUAGCUCAAUUGGCAGAGCAGAGGCCUCUUAAGCCUAAGGUUGCGGGUUCGAUUCCCGCGCGGCCCA